UACGAAGGGGGCUAGCGUUGCUCGGAAUCACUGGGCAUAAAGGGUGCGUAGGCGGGUCUUUAAGUCAGGGGUGAAAUCCUGGAGCUCAACUCCAGAACUGCCUUUGAUACUGAAGAUCUUGAGUUCGGGAGAGGUGAGUGGAACUGCGAGUGUAGAGGUGAAAUUCGUAGAUAUUCGCAAGAACACCAGUGGCGAAGGCGGCUCACUGCCCCGAUACUGACGCUGAGGCACGAAAGCGUGGGGAGCAAACAGG
rnacentral:rRNA from 1 species